rnacentral:lncRNA from 1 species
UCCCCAGGGCCAGCCGGGCAGCCGCGGGCAGGACGGGGCGCAGGUACGUGCGGGGGUCGGGGUCCCCGCGGGCGCAGCCCCCCGUGCCCCCCCUGCCAGGCCCUCUCCUCUCUGUGUUUCAGGGCGAGCCGGGCCCCCGGGGCGAGCCGGGCACUUGGGGGGAGGGUUUGCACCAGCUCCGCGAGGCGCUGAAGAUUUUAGCGGAGAGGGUUUUAAUCUUGGAAACAAUGAUUGGGCUCUACGGCCAGUAGCUUCCAAACCCUCCUGCAGCAGCAGGCCCGGCUGGAGGUCCUGGCUAGAAGGGUCACCUUGCUGGAAGCCAUCAUCUGGCCAGAGCCAGAGCCCGGCUCGGGCAGCGGUGUCCCCAGCACAGCCAUCCCCGGGGUGCCCCACGGCAAGCGUGGCAGCGGCCACCCCCCCUACCGCAUCGUCACCGCCGCCCGCCGCGCCCCCCUGGAGCCGUGACAGGGGCGUCACCCGGGCCACCCCCACCGUGCCACCCUGGAGAGCAGGACGGGCUCAGCCCCGUCCCCCCUCUUGGUGCUACUGGUGGCACGGCACCGUCCCCCCACCACGCUUCGCCCCCAUCGCCGCUGCUUGAGCCCCCGGGAGGGCCAGGGCUGUCCCCAAGGCCAUUUCUGUCCCCCGGGCAAGGCGCAGCUCCGGGGGGGUGGGCUCUGUCUCAUCCCAUCUCCCCGGGCACCCCAGCCCAGGGGAGGGGAUUGGGGGGCUGGCGGUGGGCACCCCCCGGGCGGGGAGCCCGCCGUGCUGCGCGCUUCGCUGCUUGGGGACCCGCCAGGUCAUUAAAUGUCCCCAAAUCCCUGUCCUGUGGGGUCGCUUGGUGCGCCGGGGGGUGGGAUGGGAUGGGAUCUAUGGGAUGGGAUCCAUGGGAUAGGAUCUAUGGGACCCAUGAGGUGGGGGGGAUGGGAUGGGAUGGGAUGGGAUGGGAUGGGAUGGGAUGGGAUGGGAUGGGACGGGACGGGAUGGGAUGGGACGGGAUAGGACGGGAUCCAUGGGAUGGGAUAGGAUCUAUGGGAU